UUAUUGGGCGUAAGCGAGCGCAGGCGGUUUUUUAAGUCUGAUGUGAAAGCCUUNNNCUCAACNGNAGAAGUGCAUCGGAAACUGGGAAACUUGAGUGCAGAAGAAGACAGUGGAACUCCAUGUGUAGCGGUGAAAUGCGUAGAUAUAUGGAAGAACACCAGUGGCGAAGGCGGCUGUCUGGUCUGUAACUGACGCUGAGGCUCGAAAGUAUGGGUAGCAAACAGGAUUAGAUACCCUGGUAGUCCAUACCGUAAACGAUGAAUGCUAAGUGUUGGAGGGUUUCCGCCCUUCAGUGCUGCAGCUAACGCAUUAAGCAUUCCGCCUGGGGAGUACGGCCGCAAGGCUGAAACUCAAAGGAAUUGACGGGGGCCCGCACAAGCGGUGGAGCAUGUGGUUUAAUUGGAAGNUACGGGAAGAACCUUACCAGGUCUUGACAUACUAUGCAAAUCUAAAANAUUAGUCUUUCCCUUUGGGGACAUGGAUACAGGUGGUGCAUGGUUGUCGUCAGCUCGUGUCGUGAGAUGUUGGGUUAAGUCCCGCAACGAGCGCCACCCUUAUUAUCAGUUGCCAGCAUUAAGUUGGGCACUCUGGUGAGACUGCCGGUGACAAACCGGAGGAAGGUGGGGAUGACGUCAAAUCAUCAUUCCCCCUAUGACCUGGGCUACACACGUGCUACAAUGGAUGGUACAACGAGUUGCGAACUCGCGAGAGUAAGCUAAUCUCUUAAAACCNUUCUCAGUUCGGAUUGUAGGCUGCAACUCGCCUACAUGAAGUCGGAAUCGCUAGUAAUCGCGGAUCAGCAUGCCGCGGUG
rnacentral:rRNA from 1 species